rnacentral:rRNA from 1 species
GCUCUCGUCCGUGGACGCUGCUACUAGAUUUUUUUUUUUUUUUGAGACAACGCUGCUACUAGAUUUGCAGUUGUAGGAGGGGACCUGGUUUACCCACUUUGCUGCCGCCUCUAAAUGAGCCUGCAGGAGGGGGGCUAGGGGCUGUCUCCUCAUAAACCAAGAGGCGUUGCCUUUCCAGUCUAGCUUGAGGUGGCGACGGGGAAAUGGCCGCCGCGGUGACCGGCAUGGCCAUGCUGGCGGCGCUAGCGAUCCUCGUGCCGUCGGCGCAAGGGCUCGACCGCGCCGAGUUCCCGCCCGGGUUCCUCUUCGGCAUCGCCACGUCUGCUUACCAGAUUGAGGGUGCAUACCUGGAGGACGGCAAGGGCCUCAGCAACUGGGAUGUCUUCACCCACACACGCUGAGUAUAUACGCUAGAAACCAAAGGGCAUUUCCCCCUCUUCCCUAGCUUAUUCCCAAUCAACAGGAGAGGCAAGCUGCACAGAUAUUUUGAGUUUGUCUUUCGUCCGCCGAGGUGUCACCAUCCGUGGCAGGUUAUGAUUCUCUUUCAUCUACAGUUCUAGUAUAAUCUCCUUCACAUGUCAUUCCACGUGCACCAUGGGGAUAUUACUAGCGGCCUAUAAAUAUGGGCCAUGCCGUACGAGCUCUCGUCUGUGGACGCUGCUAGAUUGCAGUUGCAGGGAGGGACCUUGUUUGCCCACUUUGCUGUGGUCUCUAAAUGAGCUUGCAGGAGAGGGGCUAGCCGCUGCCUCCUCAUAAACCUUUCUAGUUAGUCUAGCUUGAGGCAACGGGGAAAUGGCCGCGGCGGCGACGGCGAUGGCCAUGCUGGCGGCGCUGGUGACCCUCGUCCUCGUGCCGUCGGCGCGAGGGCUCGACCGAGCCGAGUUCCCGCCGGGGUUCCUCUUCGGCGUCGCCACGUCUGCUUACCAGAUCGAGGGCGCGUACCUGGAGGACGGCAAGGGCCUCAGCAACUGGGAUUUCUUCACCCACACAAACUCUAGGGGAAUCGAUGAUGGACGGAACGGGGAUGUAGCGGAUGAUCACUACCACCGGUACAUGGAAGAUGUGGAGAUCAUUCAUAGUUUGGGUGUUGACUCCUACAGAUUCUCAAUUUCAUGGGCGAGAAUCCUACCAAGAGGCCGGCUUGGAGGCGUCAAUUCAGCUGGAAUAGCUUUCUACGACUGCCUCAUUGCUGCACUCGUGAAGAAAGGGAUAGAGCCAUUUGUGACACUGCAUCACUUUGAUCUGCCGCACGAGAUGGAGACGCGAUACGGCGGUUGGCUGGGCGCCGGAAUCCGGGAGGAGUUCGACUACUAUGCGGACGUGUGCUUCAAGGCGUUUGGUGACCGGGUCAAGUUCUGGACGACGUUCAACGAGCCCAACCUGUUCACCAGGCUCGCCUACGUGCUGGGCAAGUACCCUCCGGCACGCUGCUCCGCGCCGUUCGGGACCUGCGAGAGCGGGAACUCUCAUCGGGAACCCUAUGUCGCGGCUCAUAACAUGCUGCUGUCACAUGCAGCCGCCGUCCACAACUACAAGAAGAAUUACCAGGCAACGCAAGGCGGAUCGAUCGGGAUUGUGAUUGCGAUGAAAUGGUAUGAGCCACUGACAAAUACCACAGAGGAUAUCCUCGCAGCACGACGUGCCUUGUCUUUUGAGGUAGAUUGGUUUUUGGAGCCGAUAUUCUUUGGUGAUUAUCCCAGAGAAAUGCACAAGUUGUUAUCAUCCAACUUACCAAAGUUCACCCCAGAAGAGAAGAGCUUACUGCAGAAGAACAAGGCGGAUUUUAUCGGUAUAAACCAUUACACGACAAUUUAUGUCAAGGAUUGCAUCUCUUCUCCAUGCGACCUUAAGGCUUAUGAGGCUUAUGAGGCGAAUGCACUAGUCCUAGCUACAGGUGAAAGAGAUGGCGUGGCAAUUGGGAAACCCACUGCAUUCGAUGGUUACUAUGAUGUUCCAGAGGGUAUGGAGCAGAUCGUCAAGUAUGUUAAUCAGAGAUACAAGAACACACCUCUCUAUGUUACUGAAAAUGGUUACUCGCAACACAGCAAUGACACUAUGGACAAAUUGAUCAAUGACGUUGAAAGAGUGAACUACCUACAUGGUUAUCUCACAUGUCUCUCUUCAGCAGUCAGGAAAGGAGCAAACGUGCGUGGCUACUUCGUAUGGAGUAUCAUCGACAACUUCGAGUGGACUUUCGGUUUUACGGUAAGGUUCGGGCUGUAUCAUGUGGAUUAUGGAACGCAGAAGAGGACUCCAAAGAUGUCGGCGAAGUGGUACCGAGACUUCCUCAUGGGCUCUAGGCCGACGGACCAAGUGCAGAUGCUAAGAGCAGAUUCAUGAUAGUUGCAGCCAGUACUGUCAGAUCCAGUUACCCGUAAAAAGAAACUGUCGGAGAGAGUAGUAAUUAAGAAAAAAAAAGUUUGUUUACUUGCUUAUCUUGAAGAUUUCUAAUGGGAUUUUUACAUACUUCCUGCCCUGGACAAGAGCAGAGCAGAGCCAUAUGCCUGACAUAGUUUGUACACCAUGACACAUGCUACUGAAUCCUCUUUCAGGAGCUGCUAUAUAGCAUUGCACGUAGUUCCUUGCAACAUGCUGCAACAAAAGGCUCGGAAAGAUUUUGCAUCCAGACCAUGAAAAAACUUCUAGACCUCUUCCUUCCACUACCAUUUAUACAUCAACACUUGCAUCACAAAUCAUUCAGAAACUUCAGGCGGUGUGAGCAGAGUAUGCUCUGUUUUGCUUACAUAUCUGUAGAAAAAAUGAGUGAAGAACUGGAUCUCUGCGUACAUCCACACGUAUCUCCUCGCCACUGCACAUACGCGCAUUUUCAGGUUAGUUACCGUUGCAGUGAGGGUUUUAUCAUGGCAGUUCAUAUCAAAAAAUUUAGUCUGUGUUCUGAGGUGGACGGUGGUUAAUGUGAUAGUGUCGUACCCAUGCUUGUUGUGAUGAGUGAUGAGAAGAGGCCUAGGAUACAUGAGAAUGGAAGCGAUAUCGCCAGGGCUGUCAGCCACCAGCAACAAACAAAUUGUUAUCGAUCCAAUGUAAACAAGUUGUAAGAACAAUCAACAAGAGCGAUAGAAAUGAAUACCAGCAAUUGCUCCAAGAAGCAAAAAUAUGCGAGGAUGCUUAUGAUCACAAGGAUAGGUGUCCCAUGCCACAGCCUGAGUAACAAAAUUACGAAAGAAUCACCAUCAGGUUGCAUAAUUCUGUGACUGUACUAGGUGUUACUAAUAUACUACAGUAUGAGAUUAGCACACAUCAUUCCAAUUCCAGAAGAAAUUCUAUGUCGAUCUGUCACAAAGC